GCCUUCGUGGUGUAGUGGUGAGUACGCUCGAUGCGUAACUGAGAGGUCCGUGGUUCGAUUCUCGGCGAAGGCG
rnacentral:tRNA from 1 species